rnacentral:tRNA from 1 species
GCAAGCCCGUGGUGUAAAAGGAGCAUACCGUGAUAGCGGAGGUAACGGUUCGAUUCCGUUCGCUUGCCA